CAUACUAUACGAUGCAAAUACACUACGCAACCAAUCACGGCAUUGACAGUACUUGCGCAUGUGCUGUGCUCGUACACACUCCAUAACAAUAGCAGUCCGGUGGAGUUCAGUAAUGCUCAUGUUAACCCCAUAUCAUGGCGAAACAAGCGGGUAGUGAAUGUGAUGCGUCGGCUCCCAAACCAAAGAAAAAAAGAACUGCGGUUCUUUUAAGAUGGGAUGGCUGUCGGAGUAUGUGCAAAUAGAAGAACAAGCGGUAAAACUGGCUGGAUCUGAAGAAACCGGAGGUUUCCAGGGGCCGAGUCGACGUCCAGGCAAAGACUGUGGCCACGGCACUUGAGACCUUUUCCGGGACUGAGCCUCGACUUUGCGUCUGGAGGCUGAGGGUUGACGAGAAGCCGAAGGAAGUGAAGACAUCUCUGAGAGCUGGAGCCAAUCCCAGCUAACUUCGGGCAGCGGCAGACUACACCGGAAACUGGUUGCCACCCAGCCACAGUGCAGAUAUCAACACCAUAACACGCUGCCUUCACUCAAAAUGUCCCUCUGAGGGAAAACCCGAACUACAACGUGGCCCUCAAGAGAAAUGAGUUCGACAUCCUUGCACGACACCAUCAAAAAAAAAAAAAAAUUGACAAGUUACUGUGCUUUCAUAACCUUAUUACUGCCAUUUGUUUAUUCAUCCCAUGUCUAUGAAUUAACAUCUACCGUACAUGUAGUUUUAUCUGAACACGGGUAUAGACUGAGCAAGAGCUGAAUGACAUGGACAAAAUAGCAGAAAGAAACACGUGGAUACACCUUACACACUGUAAAAGGUCAGCUGAGUCACUCAAAGGGAAAGGUGAGCAAAGACCAGCAUACGGUGGGUGCAGAUUUUUUGUAUCUGAAAAUACCUGAAGGCUGGUGAAGAUUUAAAAGACACUUGACUCAUUUAGGGCUGACUUGGUCGACAUGACUUCAAAAUGGCUAAAUAAUAUGCCGUAAUAUUUUUGUUCAUAUGCUACUUUUGGACACCUGUAAAGCUGACAAAAACCCAUAACAGCAGAACCAAUAAUUAUACUCAGUCAACUAUGCCUACCACUCUUAAGAUAAGAGGUGCAACCUCAUUUCAAAUAACAUUAGUGAACAAAGAAAAAGAAAGUUUGGCAAAUCUAAAAAUUUGGUGUUCUCUGUCCUAGUUUCUAUCGCUGUUUGCAGCUAUUCUUGCAUUGUGUGGAUGUUGUUGUAUUCCCUGCAUAAAGCCAUCACUUAACCAACUUAUAACCCCUGCUAUUGCACCGACAAAUUCAAAAUUGGCAGAACUAUAUCCACUAUUGGCACAACAGAGUAAUGACAGUGAUAUUGUUGACCACGAUGAUGACGUUAUGACUUCUCUUCCAGACCUGUUCUCUGAUCCAGAAGAUUACAGGUAAUUGGUGCUAUAUUUUCCUCCGAGUGUAAGCCGAAAGGGUGAUCUAAUAGAUGAUUUAAGGAUUUGAGCAAAUGUAGGAUAAACAGGAGGAUAACGUAGAAAUAAUUGUAAAUAGUAUUAAGUAACUGCUUCUGACUGCAAUGAAGAAAUGCUUUGCUCUGCUCAAAUUCAGUUACUGCUCUGCCUGCAAUGAAGAAAUGCCUUGCUCUAAUCCAAUUCAGUUCCUGUUUCUGCCUGCAGUGAAGAAAUGCUUUGCUCUGCUCCAAUUCAGUUACUGUCUCUGCCUGCAAUGAAGAAUGCUUUGCUCUGCUCUAGAAAACAUGGUAGCAAAUGUAGGAUAAACAGGGGGGAAAUGUAGGAAUAAUUGUGAUCAUAAUUAUCAUACAUCUGCUUCCAAUAAUGAAAUGCUUUGCUCUGCUCUCGAUAACGUGGCAGCCUCCUAGCAGGAGAUAGCAAGAACAAAAACUUCUAAUCAUCAGAACUGUUAGAACUGCUGCCUGUUAAAGAAAUGAUGACCACACAUGUAUUCAGCAAGCUUUCACACAUGCACACGCACAUGAACAAACAUGUACACCUUGUUUCAAACUGUUUUGCUUGUCGUCUCCUUUUUGUAACAUCUAUGUAAAUAAGGGGCAUCUUAAAACUAAAUAAAUAGAGGUGCUGAAGAGAGGAUAAUCAGAGAGUGCAGUGGUGAAUUGUACGAGACAGUUCCUCUCCUCUCUCCUCGCGAGACUUGAACUGGUGUCUUUGCUUCCUUUUUUGUCCUGUUUAAUGAAUGUCUGAUUGGUGAACCUGACAUUUACUUGGGAUCCCAAAUAAAAUGGGACAGCUGGGGCAGAGCGGGCGUUUUGUGAGAUAAAGCAAGUUUUGCUGUCAAGUACAGCCUUAGCAUUACCUGACUAUUCAAAACAUUUUGUUCAAAUGGUAGAUUGCAAAGGAGAAUAUAUGACAUCAGUACUGACUCAAACCUAUGGAGAAAAAAUGUGACCAGUGGCACAUUUCUCAUCCAAAUUGGAUAGUGUAGCAUGUGCACUUCCUCAUUGCGUCAGGGCUGUGGUUGCAGCCCAAAAUGGCUGUUGAGAGUAGUUCUCCAUUGUGCUUUUUCACCCACUAACACUCAGGGUGCCACAGGCCGUGUCAGCCCUACUGCUACAGACCAAUAUGACCUAUUUGUCCCCAGCUAGACAUCUAUCACGCAUAGCCAUAUUGCUUAUCUCAGCCACACCUCACACUGGAAAGAACCCAGCUACCCAUCUACCACUCCCUGACGAGGGAUUAACAACAUGACUGCCAAGAAUUAUCUGAACAAACUACUAAAUGCUCCUGGCCGAGAAGGGUGGCGUCUGCGCCAUGUUCGGUAACCAGUGUUGUACGUUUAUUCCAAAUAACACAGCACCUGAUGCGUCACUCACAAGGGCCAUUCAAGGCCUCCACACCCUGAACCACAAGAUGAAGGAGCAGUCUGGCGUGAACACAUCAGCCUGGUCUGAGUGGUGGGAAAAAAUAUUUGGCAAAUAUAAAAACUUGGUGAUCUCUGUCCUAGUUUCUAUAAGCUGUGUUUGCAGCUAUUCUUACAUUGUGUGGAUGUUGUCGUAUUCCCUGCAUAAGGGCAUUACCUAACCGAUUUAUAACCACUGCUAUUGCCCCGACAAAUUCAAAAUUGGGAGAAAUAUAUCCACUAUUGGCACAACAGGGUAAUGACAGUGAUGUUGUUGACCACGAUGAUGAUGUUAUGACUUCUCUUACAGACCUGUUCUCUGAUUCAGAAGAUUACAAGUAAUUAAUACUAUAUUUUCCUCCGAGUGUAACUGUUUGUUUUCAUAAAUAUGACUGUAGAAUAAAGGCGAAAGGAUGAUCUAUUAGAUGAUGUGAGGAUUUGAGCACAUGUAGGAUAAACAGGAGGAUAAUGUAAAAAUAAUUGUAACUAUAAUUGAGUGACAUUUUCUGCCUGCAGUGAAGAAAUGUUUUGCUCUGCUCCAAUUCAGUUACUGUUCCUGCCUGCAAUGAAGAAUGCUUUGCUCUGCCAGCAAUGAAGAAUGCUUGGUUGCUCUAGAAAACAUGGUAGCAAAUGUUGGAUAAACAGGCGGGAAAUGUAGGAAUAAUUGUGAUCAAAAUUAUCAUACAUCUGCUUCCAAUAAAGAAAUGCUUUGCUCUGCUCUAGAUAACGUGGCACCCUCCGAGCAGGAGAUAGCAAGAACAAAAACAUCUAAUUAUCAGAACUGUUAGAACUGCUGCUUGUUAAAGAAAUGAAGAGUUUGUUUUGAAAACGAGACAUAGGCAUUUUUUUCAGAUUUACGAAACUCGCGCCAAAAUUAUCCAGCUCCGAAUGGAUAAUUUUGGCGCGAGUUUUGUAAAUCUGAAAAAAAUGCCAUGUCUCGUUUUGAAAACAAACUCUUCAAAUGAUGACCACACAUGUAUUCAGCAAUCUUCCACACACGCACAUGAACAAACAUGUACACCUUGUUUCCAACUGUUUUGCUUGUCGUUUCCUUUUUAUAACAUCCAUGGAAAUAAGGAGCGUCUUAAAACUAAAUAAAUAGAGGUGCUGAGGAGAGGAUAAUCAGAG